GUGAAGGACUCUAAGUUGAUUUGGACUUUUUUCCUUGACGGUAAUGACCUGCUUCCUAAUUAGGGAGAGAAAUGGGAUGGGGAGAGGAUGUGGAUGGAGCCCCAGCUUUUCCCGCAGAUAAAGCCCCAGCUUUUCCCGCAGAGAGUGCUCCUCACCGCAGGGCAAGAAGUGGGCCGCAGGACCAGGCGUUCCUGUUUGGAGGCGCCGUCUCCAGCCCCGGAACCACCCCCUUCUCAGGCUUCCCUUGGCCGUGUACACCAGGCAGAGAGCACAGCCAAGGCCACGCCUCAGAGGACCCGCAAGGCCCAGGGACCGCAGGGGACCGUGAACAAAGGUGCCUCCAUGGCUGCACUGACGGUCUCCAGCGCAAGGGAGGAGAAACAGCAUUGGAGGAGACAAUAGUCUCCCUACGUGUGCAAGACACAGUGCCGAGGUCAUCUCCCCAGCACCUCAGCCCCUGCCCACUGCUGCUCAGGACAAGGCCAGAUGGCCCCAGGCAGCAGGGCACUCCACGCAGGGCUGGCCAGACGGACACAGGCCAUGUUCGGCAGGACACCACGUGGUGGGGUCGGGGGCUUGUAGCAGACACAUGGGCCGGCAGCCUCUCUCGUGUGAUGUUGCUGGCAGCUGUUGAUGGUCAAUACCCCGUCCAUUAGCUCACUGGAGGCCGCAGAAUGAUGACGUCAUUUCACUUUUCUCCACAAAGAAGGAUUUCCCUGCUAGGAAGAAGUGAGGGCUUACCUCACUGUCCUUGUGGUCGGGCUCCUCAGGGAUGCCCAGUGCCAACACUCUGCAUGGCCCUUCUGGAUCUUUCUCUGAGUGUGAUGCCUCCUAGACAGCUCUCUCUGUUCCUUUCUUUACAAAACAAAUUGGAUGGCAUUCAAUGCAUUGAUCUGUGGCAUGCUACAUUCACUCCAGGUUAUAAAUUAUGAACAUUUUCCAUGUCACUGCAUAGAGAGCUGCUCAGUUUUUAUCCAUAAACAUUUCAGAGUGCAUCUCUGAAAGAUGAGGGCUCUUAAAAAUAUACAGCUGCUACACCCAUCUCCCACCUAAAGGGAAGAACGGCAUUUAAAAAAAAAUAAUGUCCUCCACCAGCCAGGCUUCCAAGUUCCCUGAUUAUAUCAUGAAUGCUUUUUUAACAGGAUUUUUAUUAAAAUUAUUUUCGAAAUGAGGCCUGCACACAUCCACAAGAGCCCCUCAGAUCUCCUAGUUCACAAACAUCCCCUCCAUCCUUCCCUGUGUGCUCUUUUCUCCUUGCUGGUAACCUGUGCAGGAGGCAGCCUGUGUCCUGGGAGUUUCCAGCUCAGACCCUGAAGACACAUCCCUGUGCAGUCCCAGUCCUUGGUGGUGAGUUCUGAGCCAUAGCAGCGACAGUCUGGCUCUGUCGCCCAGGCUGGAGUGCAGUGGCGCUAUCUCGACUCACUGCAAGCUCUGCCUCCCGGGUUCACACCAUUCUCCUGCCUCACCGGGUGUGUUCCUCGGUGAGGAGGUGCAGGGUGGCUGCCUGUCCCUCUCCUCCAUGACAUUAUCUGCCAUUGCCUGCCACAUUCCCCAGUUAUCAGGGAAUCGCAGGAUGGUGAUGAAAGUUUGUCAGCCUUGUGUGUUCGUUGGCUGGAAUGCUUCCCUAUGAAAGAAUGUUCCCUCAUCAGCUGUCGUUGACGUGGAUAUGUGGUCGUGUACGACGGACUGUCCGGAGACACGCUGGAUUCUCUGCCUUUACUCGCUAGCUUCCAAAACAACAAGCUGGCAGUCUUGCC
ensembl:lncRNA